UUGUUGUUGUUGUUGUUGUGGUUGUUGAUGACCUGAGUGGCUGUGGCGCGUACCCACAGUAGGGUAUUGGCCAUGAAUCGGGUGGUUAUAGUGGUGUCUUUCACCACGU
rnacentral:lncRNA from 1 species